AUGGCAGCGCCCCCCUCCUCCGUCUCCGUCAGGGCCGGCGCGUCCGUCUCGGCGAAGCUGACCCCUUCGCGGGCCGCCAGGGUUGGGUUCGGUGGCAGGGUCAGCGUCGGCUCGGGCAGGAAGUGCGGCGGCCCCGUGCGGGCGUCGCUCUUCUCGCCCAAGCCCGCGGUGGCCAUGGACGCGAGGCCGACCAAGGUGCAGGAGCUGCACGUCUACGAGCUCAACGAGCACGACCGCGAGAGCCCCGCCUACCUCCGGCUGAGCGCCAAGCAGAGCCAGAACGCGCUCGGCGACCUCGUCCCCUUCACCAACAAGGUGUACAACGGGAGCCUGGACAAGCGGAUCGGGAUCACGGCGGGGAUCUGCAUCCUGAUCCAGCACGUGCCGGAGCGCAACGGCGACCGCUACGAGGCCAUCUACAGCAUCUACUUCGGCGACUACGGCCACAUCACCGUGCAGGGGCCCUACCUCACCUACGAGGAGUCCUACCUCGCCGUCACCGGCGGCUCCGGCGUCUUCGAGGGCGUGUACGGCCAGGUCAAGCUCAACCAGAUCGUCUUCCCCUUCAAGAUCUUCUACACCUUCUACCUCAAGGGCAUCCCGGACCUGCCGAGGGAGCUGCUCUGCACGCCCGUCCCGCCCUCCCCCACCGUCGAGCCCACGCCCGCCGCCAAGGCCACCGAGCCACACGCAUGCCUCAACAACUUCACCGACUAG
rnacentral:rRNA from 1 species